GGGAUUUAAACGUAGUGUGCAAUUUGGAAGUGAUAAGAGUGAUUUAUUUUUCAACUUGUCCAUCUCCGUAAUAUACGUUUAGUUGUGAGAUGUUCACAGUUUUCCCCAAAAAACAGGCAGGUCUUCACGUGCGAAAUCAAAGUGGGUGGGGAACGUGUAUUUCGAGUCGCUGGAACUUCAUAAUGAAGCUGCUUUUGUGCAAUAUUCAGCGACGUUACCAGCUGUGUGUUAGACGAAACGAAAAUGCUUUGGUUUUGCAUCGUGUUUUGAGACUGUCAGGGUGACAUGAUGGAUUAAUUGCUGUUUGACUGACAAUAAAUGAACAUGUUUGUGUUUGGAGAUUGCUGAGGUUAAUAUCUUCACAAUUGGGAAAUCACAACAUAAGUUGACUGCCAGUUUGACCACGGAUCUGCAUAAUAUCAGUGGGAGAGCAUGCUGAAUCCCGCAGCUUCUGCACCAUAUGUUUCCUGGCCGAGUGGUUGAAAGUUGCGACCACACAUUCCAUGGGUGAUGAUAUCUACCAAAAUUCUUGGCGGCACAGUUCUACCCUUGUCAGUUGCACUUGUCCGAGUUUUUCUCUGCCUCUCAACCAACUCGAGAUAUCCCCCCCCCCAACUGCAUCCCGGCACAGCUUCACAUCAACCCAUCUAAUUAAUUUGUCGGAAAGGUUGACCACACAAAUUUCCUGUUUGGUUGUGGAGAUAGAAUCAUUUUUUGUGUGAAAGUUUGAUUUCAG